AAGAGCGAGCCUUUAUGGCGAGCAUUAUAUCCAUAACACUGUGAACUGUUGACUCUUUUAGAGUCUUUUUUACAAAACUUUUGUGUAAUGAACGUAUUAAACUAUAAUCAAUA
rnacentral:misc_RNA from 1 species